GGGGGAAAAAAAACUUGUAGUGAACUCCAGGAGGGAUGAAGAAGUAAACGUUGGAAGGGCACUGAAGAUAUCAAAGUUCAAAACCCAAGUCACAAUGGUUGGAUCUUCACAAGAAUUCUAAUGCCUGAGGAAGCUCCAUCCUAAGAACAUCUUUUGUGACCCAAUGGACAACUCUAAUGUCUUCGAUCUUUGCACUGCUAAGAAGAGGAGUCAUCCCUCAUAACAAAGAAAAAAAUGGGUGGGGU